GGCGGACGGGUGAGUAAUGCUUGGGAAUAUGCCUUAUGGUGGGGGACAACAGUUGGAGACGACUGCUAAUACCGCAUGAUGUCUACGGACCAAAGUGGGGGACCUUCGGGCCUCACGCCAUAAGAUUAGCCCAAGUGGGAUUAGCUAGUUGGUGAGGUGAUGGCUCACCAAGGCAACGAUCCCUAGCUGGUUUGAGAGGAUGAUCAGCCACACUGGGACUGAGACACGGCCCAGACUCCUACGGGAGGCAGCAGUGGGGAAUAUUGCACAAUGGGCGCAAGCCUGAUGCAGCCAUGCCGCGUGUGUGAAGAAGGCCUUCGGGUUGUAAAGCACUUUCAGUAAGGAGGAAAGGUUAAGUGUUAAUAGCACUUAGCUGUGACGUUACUUACAGAAGAAGCACCGGCUAACUCCGUGCCAGCAGCCGCGGUAAUACGGAGGGUGCGAGCGUUAAUCGGAAUUACUGGGCGUAAAGCGUAC
rnacentral:rRNA from 1 species